CAGAAAAUAGUUUAUUAAAAUAUUAGUUUUGGAGACUAAAGAUAAAAUUAAUUUUUUUUCUGA
rnacentral:tRNA from 1 species